rnacentral:rRNA from 1 species
UUUGAGUUUGAUCGUGGCUCAGAUUGAACGCUGGCGGCAGGCUUAACACAUGCCAGUCGAACGGUAGCAGGAGAAAGCUUGCUUUCUUGCUGACGAGUGGCGGACGGGUGAGUAAUGCUUGGGAAUCUGGCUUAUGGAGGGGGAUAACUACUGGAAACGGUAGCUAAUACCGCGUAAUAUCGAGAGAUUAAAGACUGGGACCUACGGGCCAGUUGCCAUAAGAUGAGCCCAAGUGGGAUUAGGUAGUUGGUGGGGUAAAGGCCUACCAAGCCCGCGAUCUCUAGCUGGUCUGAGAGGAUGACCAGCCACACUGGAACUGAGACACGGUCCAGACUCCUACGGGAGGCAGCAGUGGGGAAUAUUGCACAAUGGGGGGAACCCUGAUGCAGCCAUGCCGCGUGAAUGAAGAAGGCCUUCGGGUUGUAAAGUUCUUUCGGUGGUGAGGAAGGUAUCAACUUUAAUAGAGUUGGUAAUUGACGUUAUCCACAGAAGAAGCACCGGCUAACUCCGUGCCAGCAGCCGCGGUAAUACGGAGGGUGCGAGCGUUAAUCGGAAUGACUGGGCGUAAAGGGCACGCAGGCGGAUUGUUAAGUGAGAUGUGAAAGCCCCGGGCUUAACCUGGGAAUUGCAUUUCAGACUGGCAAUCUAGAGUAUUUUAGGGAGGGGUAGAAUUCCACGUGUAGCCGGUGAAAUGCGUAGAGAUGUGGAGGAAUACCGAAGGCGNAAGGCAGCCCCUUGGGAAUAUACUGACGCUCAUGUGCGAAAGCGUGGGGAGCAAACAGGAUUCGAUACCCUGGUAGUCCACGCUGUAAACGAUGUCGAUUUGGGGAUUGGGCUAU